rnacentral:rRNA from 1 species
UACGGGAGGCAGCAGUGGGGAAUAUUGCACAAUGGGCGCAAGCCUGAUGCAGCCAUGCCGCGUGUAUGAAAAAGGCCUUCGGGUUGUAAAGUACUUUCAGUCGUGAGGAAGGUGUUAAGGUUAAUAACCUUAGCAAUUGACGUUAGCGACAGAAGAAGCACCGGCUAACUCCGUGCCAGCAGCCGCGGUAAUACGGAGGGUGCGAGCGUUAAUCGGAAUUACUGGGCGUAAAGGGCACGCAGGCGGUUAAUUAAGUUGGAUGUGAAAUCCCCGGGCUUAACCUGGGAAUGGCAUUCAAGACUGGUUAGCUAGAGUCUUGUAGAGGGGGUUAGAAUUCCAUGUGUAGCGGUGAAAUGCGUAGAGAUGUGGAGGAAUACCGGUGGCGAAGGCGGCCCCUGGACAAAGACUGACGCUCAUGUGCGAAAGCGUGGGGAGCAAACGAGGGAUUAGAUACCC